GACGAACGCUGGCGGCGUGCUUAACACAUGCAAGUCGAACGGGCCUGUCUUCUUUUUUGGGGGUGGGUUGAGUGGCGAACGGGUGAGUAUCACGUGAGUAACCUGCCCUUCGGUCCUGGAUAACCGCUUGAAAGGGCGGCUAAUACGGGGUGGUCCGGUUGGUCCGCAUGGGCUGGUCGGGAUAGAUUCACUGUUUUUGGUGUUUCGGCGGGGGAUGGGCUCGCGGCCUAUCAGCUUGUUGGUGGGGUGAUGGCCUACCAAGGCGGUGACGGGUAGCCGGCCUGAGAGGGUGGGCGGCCAAACUGGGACUGAGAUACGGCCCAGACUCCUGCGGGAGGCAGCAGUGGGGGGUAGUGCACAAUGGGCGGAAGCCUGAUGUAGCGACGUCGCGUGAGGGAUGGAGGCCUUCGGGUUGUGAACCUCUGUUUCCGGUGGUGAAGGCCCUGUCCGUGUGGUGGGGUUGACGGUAGCCGGGGAUGAAGCGCCGGCUAACUACGUG
rnacentral:rRNA from 1 species